rnacentral:piRNA from 1 species
UGAAGUUAACUGCACACUCCUUCAGUCAGU